CAGGAAAUAGUUUAAUUAAAAUAUUAAUUUUGGAGAUUAAAGUUAAAGGUAUUUCUUUUUUCCUGA
rnacentral:tRNA from 1 species